UACAGAGGUCUCAAGCGUUGUUCGGAUUCAUUGGGCGUAAAGGGUGCGUAGGUGGCGAUGUAAGUCUGGUGUGAAAUCUCGGGGCUCAACCCCGAAAUUGCACCGGAUACUGCGUUGCUUGAGGAUUGUAGAGGAGAGUGGAAUUCACGGUGUAGCAGUGAAAUGCGUAGAUAUCGUGAGGAAGACCAGUUGCGAAGGCGACUCUCUGGGCAAUUCCUGACACUGAGGCACGAAGGCCAGGGGAGCAAACGGG
rnacentral:rRNA from 1 species